GAUGAACGCUAGCGGCAGGCUUAACACAUGCAAGUCGAGGGGUAUAGUUAGCUUGCUAACUAGAGACCGGCGCACGGGUGCGUAACGCGUAUGCAAUCUACCUUUUACAGAGGGAUAGCCCAGAGAAAUUUGGAUUAAUACCUCAUAGUAUUUUCGAAUGGCAUCAUUUGAUUAUUAAAGUUCCAACGGUAAAAGAUGAGCAUGCGUCCUAUUAGCUAGAUGGUAAGGUAACGGCUUACCAUGGCAACGAUAGGUAGGGGUCCUGAGAGGGAGAUCCCCCACACUGGUACUGAGACACGGACCAGACUCCUACGGGAGGCAGCAGUGAGGAAUAUUGGACAAUGGGCGCAAGCCUGAUCCAGCCAUGCCGCGUGCAGGAAGAAGCAUCUAUGGUGUGUAAACUGCUUUUGUACGGGAAGAAACACUCCCUCGUGAGGGAGCUUGACGGUACCGUAAGAAUAAGGAUCGGCUAACUCCGUGCCAGCCGCCGCCGUAA
rnacentral:rRNA from 1 species